AUGGCCGGCGGGAAGGAGCCGAUCGAGGUGAAGUUCCGCCUGUUCGACGGCACGGACAUCGGGCCCAACAAGUACGACCCCGCCACCACCGUCACCGCGCUCAAGGAGUUCGUCCUCGCUCGGUGGCCGCAGGACAAAGACAUUAUUCCAAAAACUCUCAAUGACGUGAAGCUCAUCAAUGCUGGAAGGAUACUUGAGAAUAACAAAACCCUUGCUGAGUCUCGAGUCCCAGUAGGAGAAGUUCCAGGAGGUGUGAUCACAAUGCAUGUUGUUGUACGCCCUCCCCAAAGUGACAAAAGUGAUAAGCACCUCUCGAAUUCCCCCAAGCAGAACAGAUGUGGGUGCACGAUAUUGUGA
rnacentral:rRNA from 1 species